rnacentral:ncRNA from 1 species
GUUUCAGGGCGGGGUGUAAGUCCCCACCGGCGGUACAGCCCGCGACCGUUUGCCUGGCAAACGCUGAUUCGGUGAGAUUCCGAAGCCGACGGUAUAGUCCGGAUGGAAGAAA